rnacentral:tmRNA from 1 species
GGGGAUGCCAGGCUUUGACAGGGCAAGCUCUUUGCAAAUUGCAGGCCGAUCUGAUUAAUUCGCUAAAUUAAUCAAAAUUCAUAACUGCCAACAGAAAUGCAGUGCCGGCGAUGGCUUUUGCCUAACCGUCGGUUAUCCUUGCUUUAAAAAACAAGGGCAUCAGUCCGCAACGCCUGAUAGCGGGGCGCUGGUGUAAUAAUCAGGAUCGCGGCGGUCAGAUGGGUUUGGUAGCUGCCGUUAAACCACAAGACCAAAAUCUUUCUCUUUAUUGAGAAUAAGCCUGUAGACGUUUGCGAAUAAUUGCUUUGGACGGGGCUUCAAUGCCCCCAUCUCCACAC